CAGGACUAUUUUUAUAGGUGAACAAUCAUCUGAAUUGGAUAAGGGUCAUGCUGAUCACAAAAGUUUUGUAUCAGGAAAAGAGGAACCCUCAAAUGCUGAGGAAAGAAUGAAGAAUGAGAUUGUGACUUUAGAAGCUGCUCUCAAAGAGCAGGAAGACUGAUGGUAGGAAUGAUUCAAUAUUGUUGAUUUAAUAUAUUAUUGUGUGAUUCAA